AGAAGCUUGGAGACCGACUCCGCAGGCUGAUCGGUACCGAAGAUCUCGU
rnacentral:sRNA from 1 species